AUCUCUAGUCUCAAUUUUCCCACCAAAGUAUUAAAAGUUAUGAUCUCUAAAUUUCAAGGAUUUGGCGGUGAUUUAGUCCAGUUAGAGGAACCUGUUUAUUAAACGAUAAACCACGAAAAAUCUUACCUGUUUUCAAAAUUUGUAUACCGUCAUUAUUAGAUAAUUCUAAGAAGAAAAAUUAUCCCGGUAAAGAUCUUCUUAAUAUAUUAGAUCAAGGUGCAGUCUAUAAACAGGCUUAAAUGGGUUACAAUGAGACAUACUUAUUUCGGAUAAAAGAUUUAAACAUCUUCUUGAAGAAGGAUUUAAUAGUAAUAAUAGUUUAAUAAGCUAUUAUGAUAGAGGAUCUAGAUUGAGUACAUAUCGCCCGUCGCUUUCAUCCAAAAAUGAAAUAAGUCGUAACAUAG
rnacentral:rRNA from 1 species